rnacentral:rRNA from 1 species
UACGUAGGGACCGAGCGUUGUCCGGAUUCAUUGGGCGUAAAGAGCUCGUAGGCGGCCACUCAAGUCGAAUGUGAAACCUCGAGGCUCAACCUCGAGCCUGCAUUCGAUACUGGGCGGCUAGAGUCUGGUAGGGGGAUCUGGAAUUCCUGGUGUAGCGGUGGAAUGCGCAGAUAUCAGGAUGAACACCGGUGGCGAAGGCGGGAUCCUGGGCCAGUACUGACGCUGAGGCGCGAAAGCGUGGGGAGCAAACAGG